ensembl:lncRNA
UAUUCCAUGUUUUUUUUAUUAUUAAAAUUGAACAAGAACAUACAAAAAGAUACAAAUGACGUGAUAAAAGUUGCAACACAGUUGAACAGAUACGGCACAGUAGCUAGUCCUACAGUACAUGAAACAACCCCUCCUUAGACAGCUGCUCCGCUGGGAUACAGCCUACUCAUUUUAGGUCAUCUGACAGCAAAACUUAAGUCAGAUGACAGCAGAACUUAAUACAGUUUCCUCCAAACACUCCAUCGCCCGAAUGCUGAACAAAGCUUACGAUCAUUUUAAUUCUUUAUUGGCCCUUAGUCUACAUUUUCAUUCUUUCAGUUGCGUCAUUGUGGUUGUGGUUACACUGUUCCAAAUCAUCAAUAAAAUACAUAAUCAUGUUUUUAUACAGGUCAGACGAUUCAUGUCAUCAAUCAUCAGUAUCCAACUGGAUAAAUACCUGCCAAAGUAUCCCACUAAGCCUUAUUCUCAUCCCCCCCAUGUACACUCUAUUGAGCCGCUUUUUAUACUUUAGACUGAGAUAGGAGGUUCAUAUCAAAACCAUAAAAUAUGUUCAGUAUAGUCCAAUAUAUUCCAACAGUGUGUUGGCAUCUCAACCCCUAGAAUCUAAGCGGUGGGGGGGGGGGCUCAUGGAAAUACUAUGGGUUAUUUUAAAGUACUCCGGGUAUGGAAACGUAGCUACUGUGCAGGAGCAUGUAAACGUGUUCUCCAUUAAAAAAAAAAUAUAUCAGAGGAGCUUUAUGGCAUCAUGUCCAUGGUUGGAUCACAACUCAGGAUGGAUCCCAAGAUCUAAAAGCUUUGUAUUUAAGGAAGAGCAUUCAAGUUUUUCAUACGAGUCCAGUUGAAAAGCCACACUUACAACCUGACCAAUCCCGACUAUGUACUGGUUUCAAGUAUUUGUAAAAAGGUCACACUAAAAAUAAUAAAAUAUUUGUUCAGUAUGACUGUCUGGAUCAAGUAUGGAUCAGCGGUCCAAACCCUGUCCCAGGAUGACGAUUCUUUGAGAAUACUGUCCGAACAAUAAGAGUUGGGCCCGUUUUGGAGUGUCCUUACCAGCCAGUGUGGAGUUUAGUGCACACCGUGUCAAGUGUGUUAGUAUGCAAAUAGGUUUCACAGUCCCAGCGAGGCCUUCAAUAAAGAGGCCAUGUCCUCAGGAAUGAUCCCCUCACCACCUGAGAGAAGGAUUAUCAAUUAAUAUCUCCUUUACCCUUCUUAAUGCAGCAGGGCUUUGGGUCAGAGAUCUUGCAUUUUUGUCCUAAUCCAGAAUGCAGCCAGUAAAUCAUUUAAUUUGACCAGCUUGGUGAUCAAUUUCACCAACGG